CCUACGGGAGGCAGCAGUGAGGAAUAUUGGUCAAUGGGCGAGACUCUGAACCAGCCAAGCCGCGUGAAGGAUGACUGCUCUAUGCGCUGUAAACUUCUUUUAUAUGGGAAUAAAAUGUUCCACGUGUGGGAUUUUGUAUGUACCAUAUGAAUAAGGAUCGGCUAACUCCGUGCCAGCGGCCGCGGUAAUCCGGAUGUUCCGGGCGUUAUCCGGAGUUAUUGGGUUUAAAGGGAGCGUAGGUGGAUUGGUAAGCCAGUUGUGAAAGUUUGCGGUGCAACCGUAAAAUUGCAGUUGAAACUGGAAGGCUGGAGUACAGUAGAGGUGGGCGGAAUUCGUGGUGUAGCGGUGAAAUGCGUAGAUAUCACGAAGAACUCCGAUUGCGAAGGCAGCUCACUGGACUGCAACUGACACUGAGGCUCGAAAGUGUGGGUAUCAAACAGGAUUAGAUACCCUGGUAGAC
rnacentral:rRNA from 1 species